CUGAUAUUUAAAGCAGGUCACUCAACAGGGGUUUCCAAAGAUGGGCAGCAGGGGUUUUGGUUGAGGGGACUGGAGGGAGACUACCGUUUCCAGGUCCUCCUCCCAACAGCCCUUGCUGUAACAUACAGUAAUGAAAACUACGAGGACAUAAACCGUUACCUUUCUACUUCAAAAUAUACAACUUAGUCAGUUUUAAUAGCAAUGCUAACGAAUGGGGAGGAUUCAAACAGACAUACACAGUACAGCAUAAAUUAAACAUAGCCGGAGACGCCACACUAUACCGGCGCGCAGUACACAACAGAAAAUAGGCACAACCAUUCUAUCUUAGGCAGUCCCAAAUAUAUAUACGCACACACAUAUAUACAAUAUUAGUUAGUACACAUGCAAGGUUAAACAGUAAUUUUAUUAUUUUUCACGUAAUAUCAGUAGUUAUGGUACAAGUCAGUGGUUAUAGUACCGUGCGCUAUUUUAACUAUACACAAAAUUUACACGUCCGCUAAACGGCAGAGCUCAAGCUUUCUAGCAGGACAUACAUUUCACCAAUUACAGUGUAUUUUAUAACAUUUACAGCAAACCCAACUACUCUAAUUGGCCAGGACCUUGAGAACUAUCGAACUAUUUACACCAGGAUUCGGUUAGUCUACGCUGCCCAAGCACCACAUAUAGCGAACUAGUUGGCGGAAUUUACAAUAGUAUCCAUUUAGUCUAUCUACUCUAUCAAUAGUCUAGUGGCUGAAUUUACAACAGAGCACACUUAGCCAAGAUAGGUUGAGAGCUAGCAGACGGAAUGUACACCAGAAUCUGCUUAGUCUCGCCGGCCUCCACGACCUAGCGACCGAAUUUUACACCUAGACACGCUGGUCAAGACAGG